rnacentral:rRNA from 1 species
CCUACGGGGGGCAGCAGUGAGGAAUAUUGGUCAAUGGUCGGGAGACUGAACCAGCCAAGCCGCGUGAGGGAGGAAGGUACAGAGUAUCGUAAACCUCUUUUGUCAGGGAACAAAGGCGGGGACGUGUCCCCGGAUGAGAGUACCUGAAGAAAAAGCAUCGGCUAACUCCGUGCCAGCAGCCGCGGUAAUACGGAGGAUGCGAGCGUUAUCCGGAUUUAUUGGGUUUAAAGGGUGCGGAGGCGGUUGGUGAAGUCAGCGGUAAAAGCCCGGGGCUCAACCCCGGCCCGCCGUUGAACCUGGCAGUCUCGAGUUGGAGAGAAGUAUGCGGAAUGCGCGGUGUAGCGGUGAAAUGCAUAGAUAUCGCGCAGAACUCCGAUUGCGAAGGCAGCAUGCCGGCUCCAGACUGACGCUGAGGCACGAAAGCGUGGGUAUCGAACAGGAUUAGAUACCCCAGUAGUC